GACGAACGCUGGCGGUGUGCUUAACACAUGCAAGCCGAACGGAGUUACGUUUCGGUAUGUAACUUAAGUGGCGAACGGGUGGAGUAACGCGUGAGGAACCUGCCUUUCUAGUGGGGGACGAACAGUUGGAAGCGACUGCUAAUACCGCAUGACACUGCCGAGUGGCAUCACUUGGUAGUCAAAGAUUUAUUGCUGAAAGAUGGCCUCGCGUCUGAUUAGCUAGUUGGUGGGGUAACGGCCCACCAAGGCGACGAUCAGUAGCCGGUCUGAGAGGAUGAACGGCCACAUUGGGACUGAGAUACGGCCCAG
rnacentral:rRNA from 1 species